AUUGAACGCUGGCGGCAUGCCUUACACAUGCAAGUCGAACGGCAGCACGGGUUCUUGCACCUGGGGGCGAGUGGCGAACGGGUGAGUAAUACAUCGGAACAUGUCCUGUAGUGGGGGAUAGCCCGGCGAAAGCCGGAUUAAGACCGCAUACGAUCGACGGAUGAAAGCGGGGGACCUUCGGGCCUCGCGCGAUAGGGUUGGCCGAUGGCUGAUUAGCUAGUUGGUGGGGUAAAGGCCUACCAAGGCGACGAUCAGUAGCUGGUCUGAGAGGACGACCAGCCACACUGGGACUGAGACACGGCCCAGACUCCUACGGGAGGCAGCAGUGGGGAAUUUUGGACAAUGGGCGAAAGCCUGAUCCAGCAAUGCCGCGUGUGUGAAGAAGGCCUUCGGGUUGUAAAGCACUUUUGUCCGGAAAGAAAUCCUUGGCCCUAAUACGGUCGGGGGAUGACGGUACCGGAAGAAUAAGCACCGGCUAACUACGUG
rnacentral:rRNA from 1 species